rnacentral:rRNA from 1 species
GCCGCGGUAAUACGGAGGGAGCUAGCGUUGUUCGGAAUUACUGGGCGUAAAGCGCACGUAGGCGGCUUUGUAAGUUAGAGGUGAAAGCCCGGGGCUCAACCCCGGAACUGCCUUUGAAACUAGGUGACUAGAAUCUUGGAGAGGUCAGUGGAAUUCCGAGUGUAGAGGUGAAAUUCGUAGAUAUUCGGAAGAACACCAGUGGCGAAGGCGACUGACUGGACAAGUAUUGACGCUGAGGUGCGAAAGCGUGGGGAGCAAACAG